rnacentral:rRNA from 1 species
UACGUAGGGUGCAAGCGUUGUCCGGAAUUAUUGGGCGUAAAGAGCUCGUAGGCGGUCUGUCGCGUCUGCUGUGAAAACUCGGGGCUUAACCCCGGGCCUGCAGUGGGUACGGGCAGACUAGAGUGCGGUAGGGGAGACUGGAAUUCCUGGUGUAGCGGUGAAAUGCGCAGAUAUCGAGAGGAACACCUGCGGCGAAGGCGGGUUGCUGGGCCGACACUGACGCUGAUGCGCGAAAGCCAGGGGAGCGAACGGG